UUCCUUGUCUUAACUGGGAUUGAGGUUUUAACUUCUGUUGUGGCAUUGCUCAGAACUUCCAAGGGUGGAUGCGGUAUUUAAAAACUGAUCCACUUCCCACUAGAGGGUACGUAUUACAGAGGAGAAGGCAACCAUCUUCAUUACUAAACAUUUGUUCUGUAUAAGCAACGGUAACAGAAACUAAGAAGAAAGCAUUAUAACCUGACAAGACUGAGAAUGGAGUGAGAGCUUAACUCCUUACACUUGAACUUCAUUAGCAUUUUUCUCCUAAUCAUUCUUAUUUUACUCACAUGUGCCUGUUCUUUUCACCAAUCCCAAUCAGCCAAAUUCUUCUUUAAGGAUUUAGAAGCACUCAGCAGUACUCACAUUUUUGUUUCAGGACAAACCUUUGAAUUGUUCUCAUCUCCUGCUCUCUACUUCCUUAUGUUGUGAAGAUAGCUGGUAAAGGGAAAGCAUGUGCACUGACUCUGAGGCAUACAGAGCUGAUGUAAUUUCAUGGCAAGAAGACUCCUGCUGCCCUUAAGAAUACUCAGGACUUCAGGAAGUCUAACAAGCUAGAAGAGUAGCAGAGUGGCUAACUAGGACUCCUGGACCUAUCUGUACUUGAAAUGCUCUGUUUAAAGCUUAGAAUCCUUGCUCCUCUCUGCGUGUAAGUCUGGCUUCCCAUUCCAACCAAAAGCCAGUUUUCUACAAAUGGAUCAGGAGUUGGUCACAUUCUUGGAACAGACUGAGCUUUGAGAGAUUGGUUUUCUAUGUGAAACAUUGGCACCCAAUCUGCUGUUACGCUGCAGGAAGGAGGCUUUUGGGGUUGUUUCUCUGGCCCCAGCCCAAGUGCAUGUACACACAACCACGUUGCCAAAUUCCCCCAGUUGACAACAGAGAGAUGGGAGGGAAAUGAGGGAGCAGAAAAAGAAGAGAAAUAAGUCCUAUUUUUUCUACCUCUAGGCUCUGAAAAAGAUCUUGGCUGCUCUACUUAUAGGAAAGAUACAAUUGCAAUUAAACUCCUAACAAUGUAGCAUACCUGUUAAAAACAAAUGAACAAACAAAAACAUAUUUCCAUAUCUUUUAUUGUCUUGUAUCUUUGUACGUGGAC
rnacentral:lncRNA from 1 species